UGGAGAAGGACUGCGCUGCAAAA
rnacentral:piRNA from 1 species